rnacentral:rRNA from 1 species
UACGUAGGGGGCAAGCGUUGUCCGGAUUUAUUGGGCGUAAAGAGCGUGUAGGCGGCCUGAAAGGUCAGCUGUGAAAACUCGAGGCUCAACCUCGAGACGUCGGUUGAAACCAUCUGGCUAGAGUCCGGAAGAGGAGAGUGGAAUUCCCGGUGUAGCGGUGAAAUGCGUAGAUAUCCGGAGGAACACCAGUGGCGAAGGCGACUUUCUGGCCUGUUCUUGACGCUGAGGCGCGAAAGCUAGGGGAGCAAACGGG